rnacentral:tmRNA from 1 species
GGGGAUGUAAAGGAUUUUGACAGGGCGAUUUGUUCUUCGUUGAUUGCAUGCCGGAGGGUAGUUCUCCGUUAUCAACAGUACAAAAAAAUAAACGCUAAUAACGUUGUAGAUGCUAGAAAUGCUUUUGCAGCUUCCGCUGUAAGAAAAGCAGCCUAAGAAAGUUAGGUGUAGCCACUCUAUAGAUUGAAUUUGCAGGUUUAUAGGGUCAAUUUUGCAAAUACAGUAUAUGUUAUUUAAGGCGGCAUAUAUCAAGAUUCAGUCUUAAAAGUUGUCUGUCUUUAAAACAGACUAUGGUUAAAUCGUAAGGUUUUGAUUUUUCCCUUGGUUUAAUCUAAAAAAUAAAAGUCUAAGCAUGUAGAUAUUACCGGAGUGCCGUUUUGGACGCGGGUUCGACUCCCGCCAUCUCCA